rnacentral:misc_RNA from 1 species
AGAAAACUACAACAAAAAAGAAAUAAGUUUUGCUUCUUUCUUACUCCUCUUCUCAUUCAUCUUCUCGCUAAGACCUCUCCAAACCCUCAGCCUUGCUCUCUCCCUGCUCCUUCAUCCAUUGCUUGUUCACCGGAGACCACUUAGGGCAUUUGGGGCUGAAGUACUUCUCUUUCACCCUCCCAUCCAACAGCUCCACCACGGCCGCUGCCUUAACACACCUCGGCGCCUUAUACUGAUUAAUCG